rnacentral:lncRNA from 1 species
UCCUCCUGUGCUCCUCAUUCAGGACGUCCACACCCUUUCUCUCCGGGCGUAUCUCUGCCCCGCUCCCGUCUUAAACAAACUCUCCUCCCCGUGCUCACCCACGUGCUAUGCCGUGUCUCCAAAAGCGAACCCCGUACCUGUUUUAACAGGUUUCUGUUUCUUUGAAACAUUCAUCCUUUCAGCAGGAUCACUUGGCUUCUCGCUCCUGCUGGUCCGGCGGCGAGGACUCCUGGUUCUCAUCCGGCUCCCCAGGUCCAGUUCCUGACAGGGAACCACGACUGUCUUCAGGACCGCUCACUGCUCUCUCUGUCCGAGAUCAUGGUCAUCGUUUUCGUCACAGAGACUGGAAAGACACCAGCUUCCAGCCCAGAGGCCCCUCCAUCUCCUUCCUCAAAUCCCGCUGAGAGACAAGAACCCCAAACAUCUUCACUGGGAGGCUGAGGGCAAAGGAUCUGUUCUGAGGACUGCCUGGAGUCUCUGCAUCACCAGCAUCUUGAUGUGAAACUGCAGUAAUCUGAAAGAGACAAAUUUAACAAGUAGGUUUAAAAAGGCAGGGGCCAAAGAUCAGUAAAAGAAUUACUGUGACCAGGGGCCCCAGCAGGAGUGAGAACCAGGGUACGGUUUUUAGCAAGACUGAUCCUGGUCGAGUAGAGUCAGAGCUGGUGCUGCCCUGCCCAAAGGAGUGGGAACUUUCUGUGGUCUCACAGCAAGUUUUUAUUAGCUGUGGUUUUAUUAGCUCAGAGUGACUGAUGAAGGUGUGACAGGCCGCUCCACUUCAGAAGUAGCUGGAGAGGUGACAACCUGAACAUUAAUAUACAAAAUGGAUCUCCUUUAUUUCCAGAAGAAUAAGCUUGAAUUCCAGUCUACACCUGGUACUUUGAGGAGACUUGCAGGCUUAUAGCCAGUCAUCUAGUUUAAUCUAAGUCGGUUUUAACCUUUGAUGUGUUAUUAACACGUAUACCAAAGCAUCUUUCCAGCGUUCCUCUUCUGCAGACCUUCUGUCACCUUCUAGAUCUGUAUUAAUUUGUUCUGUUUCCCCCCACUUAUAAAUAACCUACUGUAGAACAGAUUGUCGUUACUUCUUACAACAAAAACACCUCCAGUCUUUUAUAUCUUCUUUCGCUGACAACAUGUAUCUUUACUUGCUUUAUGCACUGAAAUCUUUUCCUCGUCACUUUAGUAGCUUUGAUUCCAUAUUAUAAUUUUUAACGUUAAAAAACCUUAACACCUAAUUAAAACCAAGAAGAAAGCAAUCAUGAACUGUUUGUCAGAUUGGCAUUCUCUGAUUAGCAAACUCAGGAACAUAUUUUAGAACCUCUAAACACAAUUUUUUUUCUCAGUGUAAUACAAGGCAUGUGUCUAGUGAGCCCAAACAUCUUUAGGUUUUUCCCUUGUAUUUAGAAUUGUUUGAUUUGUAAGUGCUUUUCUUUAAGCCAGUUAAAUAGAGCU